UACGUAGGUGGCAAGCGUUGUCCGGAUUUACUGGGCGUAAAGCGUGCGUAGACGGUAGCGUAAGUCGGGUGUGAAAGCCCCGGGCUCAACCUGGGAAUUGCAUUCGAGACUGCUCUGCUAGGGUGCGGAAGAGGGAAGCGGAAUUUCCGGUGUAGCGGUGAAAUGCGUAGAUAUCGGAAGGAACACCAGUGGCGAAAGCGGCUUCCUGGUCCAGCACCGACGUUCAGGCACGAAAGCGUGGGGAGCAAACAGG
rnacentral:rRNA from 1 species